UUAUGUGAUCGUCUCUCGCAUAUCAAUAAGCGGGAGGAAAAGAAACUAACAAGGAUUCCCCUAGUAACGGCGAGUGAAGCGGGAAGAGCUCAAAUUUGAAAUCUUAAAGGGUUUCCCUUUACGAAUUGUAGUUUAAAGAAGUGUUUUCUGUUGAGGUUUUGGUAAAAGUUCUUUGGAAUAGGACAUCAUAGAGGGUGAGAAUCCCGUAUUUGACCUUUACUUUCAACUUUGUGAUACACUUUCAAAGAGUCGGAUUGUUUGGGAAUGCAGUCCAAAAUGGGUGGUAAAUUUCAUCUAAAGCUAAAUAUUGGCGAGAGACCGAUAGCGAACAAGUACCGUGAGGGAAAGAUGAAAAGAACUUUGAAAAGAGAGUUAAACAGUACGUGAAAUUGUCAAAAGGGAAGCGUUUGACACCAGUGUUGUUUUUCUGAAAAUCAAUUAAAGAACUGUUUAUGCUAAGCUGUUUAGACUUUAUCAGCUAUCUGUUUAGUUUUGAGCUUUUCUUUAAUGCACUUUUCAGUUAACAAGUCAACAUCAAUUUCUUUUGCUGUAAAAAAGCUUGAGGAAGGUGGCUUGAGAUUCGUCUUAAGUGUUUAUAGCCUCUUGCCUAUGCAGUCGGAGAGAUUGAGGUCUGCAGCGUAGAUCCUUCGGGGCUAAAUGCAUUUGUGCUAAGUUAUAGCAUUUUAUAGACAACUUGUUGACUAUGAUUUGUCUUGUAGCUUACUCGCUUAUGUUAUUUUACCUACGCUUAGGAUGUUGAGCGCAUGUCUCUCUCU
rnacentral:rRNA from 1 species